GCGUCGGCGUCGGCGUCAUGCCGGGGGCGUCGCACCAUCGUCGUCGGCAGCGAGCGUCUCGACCGAACGUCCUCGUCUCCCCAGGCCAGUACCAAGCCGGGCCCCGUCGUCGAGAGGGUCGAUCCACUUCCUGCUGCGCGCUCGGUGCGAGACGGUGAACCGGUCGUGGCGAGGCGCGACCGAGAAGGAGCAGCGACGCGGACUCGGGACGACCAAAGAGAGAGAGAGAGAGAGAGAGAGAGAGAGAGAGAGAGAGAGAGAGAGAGAGAGAGAGAGAGGGAGAGAGAGAGGAAGAGAGAGCGAGCGCGGCGCGGCGCGGCCGCGAAAGGGAGACGACUCGCAUUUGCGGUGAUCGCUGGUGCGCGCUGCUGAUCCGCCGUGUGUAUGUUCGCGCUUUCGCCGGAAGCACCGCCGAGGCUGGCGAGAGACAGACGGAGAAAAAUGGAGCGCGCGACGGCCGGCGGAUCGAUCGCGAUAUGAACGGACCGCCGCCGACUCGAGGAGGACUCGAAUAUACCGACCGCGAGCGAGCGGGAGCGUCGCAGGCAGUGUGUGUCUGAUGAUUUAACCGGACCGAGCGAGCGGAGCAAGCCGUCGCCGUCGCCGUCGCCGUCGCAGAGGGUCGUCUGUCGUGUGCGGUCGCCAUUGAAACGCACGCACGCACGCACGCACGCACGCACGCACAGGUGGAGAACAGAGCGUCGUCGCGAGCGACGUGCCGCGAGCGCGAUCAGUCCCGGUCGAGGUCGUGUCGCCUGUCGCUGGGACCCUCCGUCCGGUGUGACCUUCGCCAGGUGCCGGAAAUGAGGCUCGAGGUUAGGUGACAUCCCUCGCGAUUCCCACGGACUAGCGCGCGACACUCUCUCUUUCUCUCUUUCUCUCUGUCUUCCUCCCUGUCUGCGUCUUGGUCUCUCGGUGUGCACGACGACUCCGGUCGUGAUCUCUCGCGGAGAGUAGCGCUCGCUCGCACACCUUCCGUCACACGAGCAGGCCCGCGGUGAAAGUGUGUCAUCGACGCGGCGCGGCGCGGCGCGGCGCGGCGCGACGCGCCUCGACUAGGCACUCUCCGGCGGCUCCCUCGUUGUCGUCGUCUGGCGGAUUACGACGCGCGCUCAAUCGGACGGUUCUCCAGGGAGGCCGGGGGACUUGGCGCUUCGCGCGGCGAUGAUCUCUUAAGGGUCGCUGAGUUAGUUUUCCAUACCUGGUGGCUCGGUCAGUGCGAGAUCGCGCCGAUCGCGAGGCGCUCGCCGGUGUGUCUCUCACGCUCCGGGUCUCUCCGGGUGCCUGCUGGCUGUCGCCUGUGUGAGAGACACCUCAGGAAGAGGAGACUGUCUCGCGAGUUGCCAGCGAAAUCGACGCUCGUCCUUGGGAUCGCUCCUCCCGGUGAGACUCAUCGAGGUGCCUCGGGAGAAGAGGCACCUCUCGAUCUCCCUUUCAUUCCCACCGCGAACGAAUACGACAGCUGCAGGAGCGAGCGGGAGGUGCGCGGUGGAUUGUUCGCGUGUUCAGUGCGCUUUCGGGGUGCUUCUCGGCGGCGGCGACGGCGGCUGAUCGACAGAUUCCGACCGCAUCCAGCCGGCUGACCGAACUUCCAAUUCAAGACGUAUCUCCGAAGAUAUCGAUUUUCACCGAGACGAUCGCGACCCGCCGCCGAUUGCGCUGAUCUCGUUGGAUACAAGACGCUGAAGAAGAGGGUAGACGCGCGACCACUCGCACACGAGUCAUCCCUGGAAUCUACCGACACGAGGACGACGAGGACAGAAACAAGGACGUGUUCCCGCGGGAUGCACGCGUCCGGCCGCACGUAGUCGACGCGCGGCUGCGUCGGCGACCUCCCGAGACGACAAGUCGGGCCUGAAGGAACGCUCCUCCGGGUUUGUCGAGUGGCGAGUUUAAGAGGAGUCGUUUCGUCAAUCGGAGCCUACACCUAUUUGCGCGGCGGAAGAGAGCCAGAGGGACGAAGAGAGAGAGAGAGAGAGAGA
rnacentral:lncRNA from 1 species